rnacentral:rRNA from 1 species
UAAUCAUGGAGAGUUUGAUCCUGGCUCAGAACGAACGCUGGCGGCGCGUCUUAAGCAUGCAAGUCGAGCGGUAAGAUUGGUGCUUGCACUAAUCCUAGAGCGGCGGACUGGUGAGU